CGUCGAUCAGCCACAUGAUCAGUUAGAAAUUUCUUUUGAGUGUGAUCCCAUAGGUUUGAACCUAAGCUGGUAGUACAAAAAUAAUCUUCUUAUACCAAUCAAAGUGACCAUCUAACAAUAGUACCCAACAUCUGGAUAGGUUGAAAUAUUGCAAAACAAUAUUCAAGAAUCUAUUGAUAUAUGGUUACCAUAUAAUUAAUCUCUUUAAUCCAAAUGCUCAAGGUGACCUA
rnacentral:lncRNA from 1 species